AAAUGCUCAUCACCUCUGAAAAUGGUCCGGGGGGAAAUAAAAUCCCGCUGUCAUCAGCUCCUGAACAUCUGCCUGUUAUUAGACCCAUGUCUCUGAAAGAAUGAUCCUGACUGAUGAUAUGAAAUACUUGCCUGGCCCCAGACCUGCAAGGGCUGUGGAUUUGGAAAUACCUGAGUUUGGAAUCUCCCCAUGUUCUUCUCCACUCAGUGUAUGUUCAGAGGCCCAGCCUGAGGAAGAGGUUGCUGAAACUGAGAGUGAAUCCCCCGAUACAGAAUCGCUACAGCAAAUCCCAAGCACUGAACCGCAGCAAGUCAAUGAAGAAGCAGACAAGGAGAGAACAAAUCUUCUAACAGAAAGAGAUUUCUGUUUAGACAAAACUCAGACUUUACAGAUGAAGAAAAAAACAGGUUCUGAAAAAAGGAAGAAAAAAGCUUCAAAGAGCGACAGAUUUCCGUCUGGCAAAGAAAAGGUAUUCUCCAUCACCAUAAGUGCUACAGUUGGUAUUAGUGGGGCAUUCACAAUGACUCAUGUCAUAAACAUUGAUUACUAUUUCUGAAGGGUUUUUAUUAAGUUCAUACAACAAUCCUAAAAUUGGUAGCUAAGAUACAUUAAUGAUAAGUGCCAUAGAAAAGUCCAAGAGGAAAUUAAUAAUGCUGUACUCAAAAUAGGGUAUGAACAGUGUGCAAUAAAUAAGUCCUAGUGUCACA
rnacentral:lncRNA from 1 species